AGAUGAAGAUUCACAUCAAAAAGGCUCACAACCUUUGAGGCUAUAUUUAGUGCUUCUCUCCUAAUGAAUAGAAUAUGUCAGAAGUGACUUCAAAGACCAGGUCAGAAAGGGCACUGUGAUUUCCUCUUUGCCCCUCUCUAAGAUCCCUCACUUUGGGAGGAGUCGGCUGCCAUGCGUGAAGACAUGGAAGCAGCCCUGUGGAGGCUAGCAUGAACUUGCAAGGCACAGGAGUGAGCCACCCUAGAAGUGAAUCCUCUGCCCCCAGGGAAGCUUUCAGACUGCAGCCCUGGUGAACACCUUGACUGUAACUUCAUGAGAAACCCUGAGCCACAACCACCCAGCUAAGGCACUCCUAGAUUCCUGACCUACACUAAUGAGAGUGCAAGAUAAUAAAUAUUUAUUGUUUUAAGCCAC